GUGGCGGGGGUUAAGGGGGUGGAGCCCGAAGGGUCAUGUGCCGGCCUUCCCGCGGCUGGUCCCGCUUGUCACGUGACGCUGGACAAGAUGGCGGCUCCCGCGGACGGGUCGGACCUGGAGACGUCGCUGCUGAGCUUCGAGAAGCUGGACCGCGCCUCCCCCGACCUGUGGCCCGAGCAGCUACCAGGUGUUGCUGAAUUUGCUGCUUCCUUCAAAAGUCCUAUCACCAGUUCUCCUCCAAAAUGGAUGGCUGAGCUAGAAAAUGAUGAUAUUGACAUGUUAAAAGAGCUUGGGAGUCUCACCACUGCUAACCUGAUGGAGAAAGUACGAGGCCUGCAGAACUUGGCUUAUCAGCUGGGGUUGGAUGAAUGUAAGCCUGGACCUCACUGGCUGCAGAUGAGAACAUGACCUCAGUACACCUCAGUGAUGUCAAAACCCCAAGGCUGUGGUCCCAGAAGGGAAGGAUGCAUUGAGGAAGUGAACUGGCAACUCUGACGCUGGUGCCACUGAAAAGGCUUCAGAUUCCUUGACCACAGUGUGUACUCCAGGGAGAGAGGACUCCUGAGAGGGGACGGCAUGCACCUCACGAAGAAAGAUAAGUCCCUGUUUGUGGCCAGGAUGGCCAAUCUUCUGGACAGGGGGCUUUAAACUAAGAUUGCUGGGGGGCGGGGAUACACAAAUUCAAACAUAUCCAGGGACCAACAUAUAAGUAAGCCCUGUAGAUAGGGACACUGGGAUAGCCACUUUUGCGGGAGAUGAGGGAAUAGUUCUUCAUCAGUGGGACAGGACAAUGAGGGCCUCAGUAGGAGGACUCAGGUGCCUAUAUACUUGAAGGACAAAGGAAGUCCAUUCCCAUGUGAAGAAAAGGUAACAGAAGGGCUGGGAAGCCCUCUUGGCUAAACAGGGAAAUCAGGGUCCUCUUAAGAAAGAGGCUUAUAAACAAUGGAAGCUCAGGGCAGGCUCCAAGGAGGACUAUUCCACAAUGGCCUGCAUUUGCAGGGAAGAGAUGAGAAAGGCUCAAGUGGUGACUGAACUUAGAUUACCAACGGUAAUCAAGGACAACAAGAAGUCCUUCUUUAGGUACAUAGGGAACAGGAGGAAAAGAAAUGGAAGUGUAGGGCCAUUGCUCAACAACUCAGGAGAGCUGGUUACUGGCACCCAGGAGAAAGCUGGGCAAAGGGCCAACAAGUCCUUUUGGCUGAACAGGGAAGUCCAGGAAAGCCUAAGGACAAAGAAAGAGGUAUACAGGCUGUGGAAACGGGUAGCUACCAAGGAGGAGUAUAGCUCCCUGGCUCUUGCAGGGAAUCAGGAAGGCCAAAGCAGGAUUAGAAUUUAGGCUGGCACCAAAAAUUAAAGAGAACAAAAAGUCCUUCUUCAGGUAAAUAGCGAGCAAAAGGAAGGCUCGGGGUAGCAUAGGACCCCUACAGGACAAACUAGGGCAAUUGGUGAUGGAGAGGGGAGACAAAGCUGAGCUCUUCAGUGAGUUCUUUGCAUCUGUAUUCCUAGACACAGACCAAGACAAAUCUUCCAACUGGAUCAUAGAUAGACAGGAGAGACACCAACCCACCAACUGUUAGCACAGACUUAGUGAUGAGGCACUUGGAGGGGCUGGAUGUGUUCAAAUCAGUGGGCCUGGAUGAAAUUCAUCCAAGGGUGCUGAAGGAAUUGGCCAGUGUCAUAGUAGAGCCUGUGGCACAGCUGUUGAGCACUCAUGGUGCUCUGGGCAGGUCCCAGAGGACUGGAAAAAGGCAAAUGUGGUCCCUAUUUUCAAGAAGGGGAGAAGGGAUGAACCAGGAAACUAUAGGCUAGUUAGUCUCACCUCUAUCCUUGGGUAAACUCUGGAAAAAAUCAUUAAGGAUCACAUUCGUGGGAGCCCAGCAGGGGAAAUAAUGCUGAAAGGAAAUCAGCACAGGUUCAUUGCAGGUAGAUCCUGCCUGACUAACCUUGUCAAAAUGCUUAGGGGCAGGAGUCAAGGCACAUGUCAUCUACCUAGACUUUAAGAAGGCCUUCGAUAUGGUAUCUCAUUCUGUUCUCGUAAAUAAACUGACAGGCUGCAAUGGUGGAUGGAUGGGUUGGUAUCGUGGUGGUGGAUGGAUGGGUGAGAGUGGUGGUGGAUGGGUCAGUAUCGACCUGGAGAGAUGUGAGCAGUGGAGUCCCGCAAGGCUCAGUCCUUGGACUGGUGCUAUUCAAUGUCUUCAUCAGUGACUUGGAUGAGGGCGUGGAGAGCACCCUGUCCAAGUUUGCAGAUGAUACCAAAUUAUGGGGCAAAAUUAACACACCAGAGGGGAGGAAAUGGAUCCAGGCAGAUCUGAACAGGUUGGAAAAAUGGGCAGAAUGAAAUGGGAUGCAGUUCAACAAAGACAAGUGCAAAGUGCUGCACCUGGGCAAAAAGGACCACCAACACACUUACAGGCUGGGGGGUGACCUUAGCAGCACAGCAGUGGAAAGGGAUCUUGGAGUCAUAGUUGAUUCCAAGAUGAACAUGAGUCAUCAGUGUAACAAAGUGAUCAACAAAGCUAACAGCACUUUAUCAGGCAUUAGCAGAUGCAUGACAAACAGGUCCAGGGAGGAGAUGCUUUCCCUCUAUGCGGCACUGGUCAGGCCGCAGUUGGAGUACUGCGUCCAGUUUUGGGCACCACAUUUCAAGCAGGAUGUGGAGAAUCUUGAGAGAGUUCAGAGGAGGGCCGCUCAUACGGUCAGAGGCCUGUAGGCAAGGCCCUAUGAGGAGAGACUGAGGGACCUAAAUCUCUUCAGCCUGCACAAGAGAAGGCUGAGAGGUGAUCUUGUGGCUGCCUAUACAUUCAUUGGGGAGGGCAGCAGGGAAUAGGAGAUGCUGUAUUUACCAGGGCACCCCCUGGAGUAACUAGGAACAAUGGCCACAAAUUGACAGAGAGCAGAUUUAGGUUGGACAUCUUGAAGAACUUCUUUAUCGUAAGGGUUUCCAAAAUCUGGAAUGGGCUUCCAAGGGAGGUGGUGCUCUCCCCUACCUUGGGGGUGUUCAAGAGGAGACUGGACAAGCAACUAGCUGGGGUCAUCUGACCCCAGUGCUCUUUCCUGCUCAGGGCAGGGGGUCAGACUUGAUAACCUACUGAGGUCCCUUCCAGCCCUAAUAUCUAUGAAUUCUGAAUUACUACUUCACCUCCAUCUUUCACUGGACCAAGAGGAAAACCAUGCCAGGUAGGGCAGGGGAUGAGCAUGGUAGGAAUAAUCACCUUCCUACUAUUGCCAGAGAAUUGGUGUAUGACCAGUUAAUAAAAUUAGAUGUAUACAAGUCAGCGGGACCAGAUGAUCUUCAUCCAAGAGUGCUGAAGGAGCUGGCCGAAGUCAUUGUGGAACCCCUGGCAAAACUCUUCCACACCUCGUGGCGGUCUGGAGAAGUCCCAGAGGACUGGAAGAGGGCCAAGGUUGUGCCCAUCCACAAGAAGGGCAGGAGGGAGAACCCAGGUAACUAUGGGCUAAUCAGCCUACCUUCCAUCCCAGGGAAAAUCCUAGAAAAGUUAGUCAAGGAGUCUAUCUUCGAUAAGCUUGCAGAAGGUAAGAUUCUUAAUAGCCAGCAUGGCUUCUUCAUGGGCAGGUCUUGUCUUACCAACCUCAUCUCCUUCUGUGACCAGGUAACUCGCCACCUGGACACAAGAUACAAUGUCAACCUGCUAUACCUAGACUUCCAAAAGGCCUUUGAACUGGUAUCCCAUGAUGUCUUCAUGAGAAAAUUGGAGGAUUGUGGGCUUAACUCCAAGACAGUCAGAACCAGGCGGAGGGGGCCAUGGUUUUUCCCGCAAAGCCUGCGGCAGCUGUGGCUGAGGUUUAGGCCCACACCCCAGGGGUGGAGGUAGCUGUACCUGUGUUCCAGCCGGUGGUCUGCAGUUUGCCGGGCCGGCUGCUUCUGGUCUGCAACGUGCCCCCCCCAGACUCAGGAGGCACCAGUCACACCUGGAUCAGGUAACUGGGAGCAGAAAAUAUGGAAGUGCUCAUAAAGAAAACAGAAAGCCCCAGCAUCUGCCUUUACUGCUCAGCAAUGAUGGGCAGAAAAGAUGAUUCACCUUGUGUCUAGAUCCUGGUCCCAAGCAGGAGAUUAUUUGCCUGAAGGCAGGAUGCAGCUGUAUAGAACUUCAGCUAUAAGAAAUGUUUCACCUGUUGUCCAAUUCUUGUUACAGAGGAGUGUCAAGAAGAAGUAUUUUGCUUGCAGAUGCCCAUUGACUUGGCUGAGUCCAGGGAAAGGAUGACCUGUCCAGUGGUUUUAGAGAUGUUCUGCAACAGAAGAUGAAUAAAAAUGAGGAGUAUA